rnacentral:rRNA from 1 species
UACGUAGGGUGCGAGCGUUAAUCGGAAUUACUGGGCGUAAAGCGUGCGCAGGUGGUCAUGCAAGACAGAUGUGAAAUCCCCGGGCUUAACCUGGGAACUGCAUUUGUGACUGCACGGCUAGAGUGCGGCAGAGGGGGAUGGAAUUCCGCGUGUAGCAGUGAAAUGCGUAGAUAUGCGGAGGAACACCGAUGGCGAAGGCAAUCCCCUGGGCCUGCACUGACGCUCAUGCACGAAAGCGUGGGGAGCGAACAGG